CGGGGAUGGUACAUGCGAGGGAGUAGUUUACUAUGACCAGACAAGUGCCAUCCUAGUGGCGGACGGGUGAGUAACGCGUGGGCAACCUGCCCUGUACAGGGGGGUAACACUUAGAAAUAGGUGCUAAUACCGCAUGAGCGCACAAAGGCGCAUGCCUAUGUGCGGGAAGCCCGCGAGGGCGGUACGGGAUGGGCCCGCGUCUGAUUAGCCAGUUGGCAGGGUAACGGCCUACCAAAGCGACGAUCAGUAGCCGGCCUGAGAGGGUGGACGGCCACAUUGGGACUGAGACACGGCCCAAACUCCUACGGGAGGCAGCAGUGGGGGAUAUUGCACAAUGGGGGAAACCCUGAUGCAGCGACGCCGCGUGAGUGAAGGAGCGUUUCGGCGCGUAAAGCUCUAUCAGCAGGGAAGACAAACUGCCCCGGAAGGGGCAGCCGGACGGUACCUGACCAAGAAGCCCCGGCUAACUACGUGCCAGCAGCCGCGGUAAUACGUAGGGGGCAAGCGUUAUCCGGAUUUACUGGGUGUAAAGGGAGCGUAGACGGCAAGACAAGCCUGGAGUGAAAGGCGGGGGCCCAACCCCCGGACUGCUCUGGGAACUGUCUGGCUGGAGUGCAGGAGGGGUAAGUGGAAUUCCUAGUGUAGCGGUGAAAUGCGUAGAUAUUAGGAGGAACACCAGUGGCGAAGGCGGCUUACUGGACUGUAACUGACGUUGAGGCUCGAAAGCGUGGGGAGCAAACAGGAUUAGAUACCCUGGUAGUCCACGCCGUANACGAUGACCACUAGGUGUCGGNGGCUUAAGGGCGCCCGGUGC
rnacentral:rRNA from 1 species